CGGGGUGUAAUGUCAGCCUGGUCAGACGGCCGGCUUUGGAAGCCGGAGGCCACUGGUUCAAAUCCAGUCACCCCGACCA
rnacentral:tRNA from 1 species